rnacentral:lncRNA from 1 species
GCUGCCGCAGCGGGGACAAAGCCAUUUCACGCCGCAUCCCGCAGAACGCAGACCGGGUGCGGAGAGCGGCAGGGGAGCACCGAGUUCCCCUCUUUGCUUCCCUCACCGCCAGCUCACACCAGUGCCCCCCGCAGCCCGCCGGGCGUCAGCGAGCCGGGGCCGCGGCACCGAACCCAGCAGCGCUGCCGGGGGGGCUGCCCGUCCUGCCCCGCUCAGCUGUCCCGCGGCGGGGGCGCGGGGCCGACAGGUGUGCCCCGCUCGGCAGCACCGGGCCGGGCCUCGCCGCCCCCCCCCGAGCCCGCUCCGGCAGCUGCAGCGCGGGGCCGCCCCCAGGCCCGCCGCCAGCCGGGGCUGAACUGCCCUGUACCCCGCUGCGAGCAGGGAGACGGAGCCCUCACCCCGGGCCCGCUCUCGUUGAGUAUAGAACAGCCGCGCUCCGUCGGGCGCCGCUCCGCUCCGUUCUCUGCCCUCGGUGGUAACGGCGCCCCCGGGCCGCGCUCAUCGCCGGGAAGCUGGAGGAGCCCGUGCCAGAACCCGGAGCCCGACCGCCGGCUCUGCUCGGAGCCUCCCGGGGCUGGCCGGUCCCGCUCCUUCCCCCGCAGCUGCCGCCGGACCCACCGCCGGCGGUCGGCGCUUCCCUCGCUCCUUCCCCCUCAGUCCGGCCGGGUCCGUUGCUCCCGGCGGGUACCCGCAGCCACGGGCCGGCUCGCCCUCUCCCCGGAGCUGCAGGGAGGUCGGCUCUGCUGUAAACAGGCGCCAGCCCGUUACAUAAAUAUCAUUUAUCCAACUGUCCGAACGCCGUCGGGCUGCUGCGCUUUUCCCAGGCGCUGUCUCCCCGCGUCCCGCUGCCCCGGGCCCUGCAGACAGCUGAGCCGCAGCCCGCAGCGCUGUUAUUUACAGCGAGCCCCGGCUAAUUUAAACAGCCCCGGCCCCGGUCGCCCCAGUGGAAAAUGCCUAAGUUUAGCAACUGCCAGGGGCUCCGGGAGCGCUUGCCGGGAGGGGCCCGGGCAGCCCAGCGGGGCGGCCGGACCCACAACACUGCGGCCCCGAGCAGGACAGGGG